rnacentral:rRNA from 1 species
UACAGAGGGGGCAAGCGUUGUUCGGAAUUACUGGGCGUAAAGGGCGCGUAGGCGGCCUGCUAAGUCGAACGUGAAAUCCCCGGGCUUAACCCGGGAACUGCGUCCGAUACUGGUGGGCUUGAAUCCGGGAGAGGGAUGUGGAAUUCCAGGUGUAGCGGUGAAAUGCGCAGAUAUCGGGAGGAACACCAGUAGCGAAGGCGGCACUCUGGGCCGGUACUGACGCUGAGGAGCGAAAGCGUGGGGAGCGAACAGG